UCCGAUCUACUCCUCUCUCUCUCUCUCCUAUUAAAAAAUGGCAAUGAUAAAAAUCAAACCUAAAGCUGAAUUUCUCUAAAAAUAACAAAGCAAGAAUCUCAUCCCCAUCUCUCUCACAUCUCUCAAAAGCUUCUUCUUCUUCUGGUUCUUCUUCUACCAUGUCAAAUGAGAGGAAAAAUCCUUACCAGUACGAUCCUUUCGACUAUAACCACCAUGAGAUCAACAAGUCAAGCUUUCCAUUCUUCAACUAUGGCAAUUCCUCCACAUACCAAAACCAACCAGAUGACCCACAAACCCUAAAUGGGUUUGAAUCUGAUCAUCCUAAUCCGUUCAUGAGCUUCACCGACUGCCUACACGGAUCAUUGGACUACAACACCCUCUCGAAAGCCUUCGACAUGUCGUGUUCUUCAUCCGAAGUCAUUUCUCCACCGUUGGAUCAUGAUAACAACUCAAACAAGCAGCAGGCGGCAGCAGGUGUACGAGAUCACUCAGUGGGGACUACUAGUACCACUGAAAACCCUUCCACACCAAAUUAUUCCUCAAUAUCUUCUUCAUCUAAUGAAGCUGCUGGUGCUGCUGGUGAUGAUCAAGUUUUAGAUGAAGAUUCAGAUCAUAAGAGAAAGAAAGAUAAACAGCCAAAAUUAGGGUCUGAUGGAGUUCAUGAAGACAAGUCAAAGAAAGGGAGCAAAGCAAAAAAGAAAGAGAAACCGCAGAGGGAACCACGUUUUGCCUUUCUGACUAAGAGUGAAGUGGAUCACCUUGAAGAUGGAUACAGAUGGAGGAAGUACGGACAGAAGGCAGUCAAGAAUAGCCCUUAUCCUAGGAGUUAUUACAGAUGCACUACACAAAAAUGCAACGUAAAGAAGCGUGUUGAGAGAUCAUUCCAAGAUCCAUCAAUCGUGAUCACAACAUAUGAAGGUCAGCACAACCACCAGUGUCCAGCAGCAACACUUCGUGGUAAUCUCAAUCUCAACGCUGUCGGAAUGCUGUCACCUAAUUCGCUUUUGGCAGCGGCAUCUUUGAACGGAUCAGCAAGAUAUUCACAUGAAUUCUUAGCUCAAUUUUUCCCAGUGAACAACCAGGUGCAAUUGCCAAAUCAUUUCCAUGAUCAUCCACCAAGUUCAAUGUUAUACUCAAAUCUCAUGAAUCCUCAUAGUCAUCACCAUCAUCAGCAGCAGCAGCAACAGCUACAUGCUCCUGACUAUGGUUUGUUGCAGGAUUUAGUUCACUCGUUUAGUCACAAGCAAGAACCAUGAAUAUUUGUGAGUACUUUUCCAGUCGAUCGGCGGGCAAUUAUAUGCACCAAAAAUUUUCUUUGAUGGACUAAGAAACAGUAUGGCUCUCAAGAAAUAGCAUUCAGUGCGUAGGGCGUGCUAGUAUAUAUAAUUCUGAGGACUGCAGUGCAUAUUGUUCUUGUGCUCAUAAAAUUAAGGGCUAACUACAUUUCACACUCUUUGAGUUUGGGAUGAUUUUUCAAAAUGGGUUGUGAAGUUUUAAUUGUACCGUUUGCAUCAUAAUGUAUUGAAGUUGGUUAAUUUAUGUCACUGGUUGAAUUGAUUGUUGUCCUUCAUUAUAUUGAUGACAUAGUGAGCUUGAGACUUUUA